AUCACCUGGGAAUCUUGCUAAAAUGCGGAUUCUGAUGAGUAGGUCUAUGUCCUGAGAUUCUGCAUGUGUAACAAGCUCCCAGGUGAAGCCAG
rnacentral:pre_miRNA from 1 species